GACGAACGCUGGCGGCGUGCUUAACACAUGCAAGUCGAACGGAAAGGCCCCUUCGGGGGUACUCGAGUGGCGAACAGGUGAGUAACACGUGAGUAACCUGCCCUUGACUUCGGGAUAACUUCAGGAAACUGGGGCUAAUACCGGAUAGGAAUCCUUGCUGCAUGGUGGGGGUUGGAAAGCUUCGGCGGUUUUGGAUGGACUCGCGGCUUAUAAGCUUGUUGGUGGGGUAGUGGCUUACCAAGGCUUUGACGGGUAGCCGGCCUGAGAGGGCGACCGGCCACAUUGGGACUGAGAUACGGCCCAGACUCCUACGGGAGGCAGCAGUGGGGAAGAUUGCACAAUGGGCGGAAGCCUGAUGCAGCAACGCCGCGGGCGGGAUGACGGCCUUCGGGUUGUAAACCGCUUUCAGCAGGGGCGAAGCUUGUGGUGACGGUACCUGCAGAAGAAGCACCGGCUAACUACGUG
rnacentral:rRNA from 1 species